ensembl:lncRNA
CUUUUGUUGUCAAUGUCUCUGACUGUGAUGAGUGUCCAGGUGCUCUUUUUUUUCCGACGGCUGUUAUUUGGAGUCCAGAAUUUCUCCUAUAAGCAUGUAAAUACUGCAAGUCCCCAAGAAUACCUACUGAUGGUAUCUUAAUAAUUCAUCUUUAGUGCUUGCUUUUUAGAAAUGUCCCUCCAGAUGAAGGAAGCACAAGAAAGUACCUCUUGUUGGUGGAACCAUGAGAAGACCGAUCAAGGAACUGCAUGGGAGGAAGUGAAAAAAGAGAAAGUGAAGAUCACACAUGGAGAAAAAUUGUCUCCCUAAAGACGCAGUCU